rnacentral:rRNA from 1 species
GGUGUCUUCGGACGCCGGCAUACGGCUCAGUAACACGUAGGUAACCUACCCUCAGGACUGAGAUAACCCCGGGAAACUGGGGCUAAUAUUAGAUAGAUAAAAGAUACUGGAAUGUUCUUUUAUCCGAAGCUUUUGCGCCUGAGGAUGGGCCUGCGUCCGAUUAGGUUGUUGGUGGGGUAAUGGCCCACCAAGCCUGCGAUCGGUACGGGCAGUGGGAGCUGAAGCCCGGAGUUGGGGACUGAGACAAGGCCCCAGGCCCUACGGGGCGCAGCAGGCGCGAAACCUCUGCAAUGCGGGAAACCGUGACAGGGGGAUCCCAAGUGCUCAUGCAUUGCAUGGGCUGUUCUUUGGUCUAAGUAACCAGAGGAGUAAGGGCUGGGCAAGACCGGUGCCAGCCGCCGCGGUAAUACCGGCAGCUCAAGUGGUAGCCGCGAUUAUUGGGCCUAAAACGUUCGUAGCCGGAUAAGUAAGUCUUUGGUUAAAUCCUGCGACUCAACCGUGGGAAUUCUAGAGAUACUGCUUGUCUUGAGACCGGGAGAGGUUGGAGGUACUCCUAGGGUAGGGGUGAAAUCCUGUAAUCCUAGGGGGACCACCUGUGGCGAA